rnacentral:rRNA from 1 species
UGGCGGCAGGCUUAACACAUGCAAGUCGAGCGGUAACAGGGGGUGCUUGCACCCCGCUGACGAGCGGCGGACGGGUGAGUAAUGCAUAGGAAACUGCCCAGUAGUGGGGGAUAGCCCGGGGAAACCCGGAUUAAUACCGCAUACGCCCUUCGGGGGAAAGCAGGGGAUCUUCGGACCUUGCGCUAUUGGAUGUGCCUAUGUCGGAUUAGCUAGUUGGUGGGGUAAGAGCCUACCAAGGCGACGAUCCGUAGCUGGUCUGAGAGGAUGAUCAGCCACAUCGGGACUGAGACACGGCCCGAACUCCUACGGGAGGCAGCAGUGGGGAAUAUUGGACAAUGGGGGCAACCCUGAUCCAGCCAUGCCGCGUGUGUGAAGAAGGCUUUCGGGUUGUAAAGCACUUUCAGUGAGGAGGAAAAGUUGGUCCCUAAUACGGGCCAGCCUUGACGUUACUCACAGAAGAAGCACCGGCUAACUCCGUGCCAGCAGCCGCGGUAAUA